CACCAUCAUCUGCCAGUCCAGUAAAGGCGCCUCCAAUCCUCCACUCCUACUCUUCUUCCAUUUCUCCUCCUCAGAUCAAAUCGCGCCUGAAUGUGCAGGUUUUGAGACUCAGAGUGUCGGCCUCCCGUUCACGUUGUUGUGUCCGUUCACAUUCUUCGGUCUCCUCUUCAAAGUUUAGAUUCUAUUCCAUUCUAUCGGCCUCCUCUAUUUUCAUCGUCAGCGUUCAGAUUCGUCACUGGGUAGCUUCUUGGCAUUCUAUUUCUUGUUUUCAUCUUCUGGUUCAGAUUCCCUUUUAGAUGUCAUUUUAUUUGUGGGUUACUUUUUAUUUCAAGGUUCACAUCUCCCUUCUAGUUUUGUUGAAAAUAUUUCUAUUGGUACUAAGUGAUUGCCUUUUAGUACUGCCUUGACUAGUGACAUUGCAGAGGAUUAGCACUUCAUUUGGUUGAUUGGAUUCUCUGCAAUUCAUUCUGGGAGAUGGAAAAUGAGGGUUGGAUUAUAAUAAUUUGAGAUACAGUAGCUUCUUUGAUAGAGUUAGCUAGAGGUCUAGUGGCAACCCAAACACAAGUUGUAGAACUAUUCAAGUAAGAAUGGAAGGCCCAGAAAAUCGGAGAUGGAUGUACAAUAGAAUAGAUCCAUGUACUAAAUGGGUUACAAUAGAAUUUGUGCAAGGUGUAGAGGACUUUCUUACUUAUGCAAUGCAAUCACCUUAUUGCCAAAACUUCGUGUACUAAAUGGGUUACAAGAAGAAGAGGAACUUCAAGAUGAUGAAGAAACAGAAGAUGGUGAGGAAGAUUCUCAUAUGGAUGAAGAUGAAGAUGAAGAUGAAGAUGAAGAUGAAGAUGAUGCAUAAAUUAUGGUUGUGACAUUGCAUUUGUUAUUUAGUUUUCAGUUUGAUUGAUUGCAUUAACUUCUUAUUUAUUUUUCAUUUAGAUUAGAUUAUAAUUUUGUUAAUUUCUAAAGAAGAUUUAGUUCUUAUUGAUUUAGUUUUUAUUCAUUUAUUUAAUUUUGAAUAUGCAGAUGGCAAGUCGUCGACUAAAGCGUGGUAGAGGGUAAUGGAGUACUCCAUCACCUGCACAAUUAACCUUAAUGUUCUUAAAUUUAUGACAUUUUAUUGUAUGGGAUUAUUUUUAAAUUCCAAAUUGUUUCUUAUAAAAAAAAUUGAACUAUUUGCAGUUUAAAAACUUUACUUAUUAUCAUGAAA